CCUACGGGAGGCAGCAGCUAAGAAUCUUCCGCAAUGGGCGAAAGCCUGACGGAGCGACGCCGCGUGAACGAAGAAGGCCGUGAGGUUGUAAAGUUCUUUUCGGGAGGGGGAACAACCGUGGCAGGGAAUGGCCGCGGGAUGACGUGAAUCCCGGAAUAAGCCCCGGCUAACUACGUGCCAGCAGCCGCGGUAACACGUAGGGGGCGAGCGUUGUUCGGAAUCAUUGGGCGUAAAGGGCGUGCAGGCGGUCCUGCAAGUCCGGCGUGAAAGACCCCGGCCCAACCGGGGGGGCGCGCUGGAAACUGGAGGGCUUGAGUACAGGAGGGGAUGCCGGAAUUCCAGGUGUAGGGGUGAAAUCUGUAGAUAUCUGGAAGAACACCAAUGGCGAAGGCAGGCAUCUGGCCAUGUACUGACGCUGAGACGCGAAGGUGCGGGGAGCAAACAGGUUUAGAUACCCUGGUAGUCCGCACAGUAAGCGAUGUGCACCAGGUGGCGGGGGGUCGACCCCCGGUACCGUAGCUAACGCAUUAAGUGCACCGCCUGGGGAGUAUGCUCGCAAGGGUGAAACUCAAAUGAAUUGACGGGGA
rnacentral:rRNA from 1 species